CCUACGGGCGGCUGCAGUGAGGAAUAUUGGUCAAUGGGCGCGAGCCUGAACCAGCCAAGUAGCGUGAAGGAUGACUGCCCUACGGGUUGUAAACUUCUUUUAUAAAGGAAUAAAGUGAGGCACGUGUGCCUUUUUGUAUGUACUUUAUGAAUAAGGAUCGGCUAACUCCGUGCCAGCAGCCGCGGUAAUACGGAGGAUCCGAGCGUUAUCCGGAUUUAUUGGGUUUAAAGGGAGCGUAGAUGGGUUGUUAAGUCAGUUGUGAAAGUUUGCGGCUCAACCGUAAAAUUGCAAUUGAAACUGGCGUUCUUGAGUAGGCGAGAAGUAUGCGGAAUGCGUGGUGUAGCGGUGAAAUGCGUAGAUAUCACGAAGAACUCCGAUUGCGAAGGCAGCAUACCGGAGCCCAACUGACGCUGAAGCACGAAAGCGUGGGUAUCGAACAGGAUUAGAUACCCCGGUAGUC
rnacentral:rRNA from 1 species